rnacentral:pre_miRNA from 1 species
AUCUGGACUAUGUUCUUCAAUAUGUGUAUCUAAAACAUAGAAGAAUAAGGUCCAUAGA